rnacentral:rRNA from 1 species
AGCGUACACGGUGGAUGCCCUGGCAGUCAGAGGCGAUGAAGGACGUGCUAAUCUGCGAAAAGCGCCGGCGAGGUGAUAUGAACCUUUGACCCGGCGAUGUCCGAAUGGGGAAACCCAGUGCAAUUCGUUGCACUAUCGUUAACUGAAUACAUAGGUUAACGAGGCGAACCGGGGGAACUGAAACAUCUAAGUACCCCGAGGAAAAGAAAUCAACCGAGAUUCCCCCAGUAGCGGCGAGCGAACGGGGAGCAGCCCGGAGUCUGAAUCAGCUUGUGUGUUAGUGGAACGGUCUGGAAAGUCCGACGGUACAGGGUGAUAGUCCCGUACACGAAAAUGCACAGGUUGUGAACUCGAAGAGUAGGGCGGGACACGUGGUAUCCUGUCUGAAUAUGGGGGGACCAUCCUCCAAGGCUAAAUACUCCUGACUGACCGAUAGUGAACCAGUACCGUGAGGGAAAGGCGAAAAGAACCCCGGCGAGGGGAGUGAAAAAGAACCUGAAACCGUGUACGUACAAGCAGUGGGAGCCUACUUGUUAGGUGACUGCGUACCUUUUGUAUAAUGGGUCAGCGACUUAUAUUCUGUAGCAAGGUUAACCGAAUAGGGGAGCCGAAGGGAAACCGAGUCUUAACUGGGCGUUAAGUUGCAGGGUAUAGACCCGAAACCCGGUGAUCUAGCCAUGGGCAGGUUGAAGGUUGGGUAACACUAACUGGAGGACCGAACCGACUAAUGUUGAAAAAUUAGCGGAUGACUUGUGGCUGGGGGUGAAAGGCCAAUCAAACCGGGAGAUAGCUGGUUCUCCCCGAAAGCUAUUUAGGUAGCGCCUCGUGAAUUCAUCUUCGGGGGUAGAGCACUGUUUCGGCUAGGGGGUCAUCCCGACUUACCAACCCGAUGCAAACUACGAAUACCGAAGAAUGUUAUCACGGGAGACACACGGCGGGUGCUAACGUCCGUCGUGAAGAGGGAAACAACCCAGACCGCCAGCUAAGGUCCCAAAGUCAUGGUUAAGUGGGAAACGAUGUGGGAAGGCACAGACAGCCAGGAUGUUGGCUUAGAAGCAGCCAUCAUUUAAAGAAAGCGUAAUAGCUCACUGGUCGAGUCGGCCUGCGCGGAAGAUGUAACGGGGCUAAACCAUGCACCGAAGCUGCGGCAGCGACACUAUGUGUUGUUGGGUAGGGGAGCGUUCUGUAAGCCGUUGAAGGUGGCCUGUGAGGGUUGCUGGAGGUAUCAGAAGUGCGAAUGCUGACAUAAGUAACGAUAAAGCGGGUGAAAAGCCCGCUCGCCGGAAGACCAAGGGUUCCUGUCCAACGUUAAUCGGGGCAGGGUGAGUCGACCCCUAAGGCGAGGCCGAAAGGCGUAGUCGAUGGGAAACAGGUUAAUAUUCCUGUACUUGGUGUUACUGCGAAGGGGGGACGGAGAAGGCUAUGUUAGCCGGGCGACGGUUGUCCCGGUUUAAGCAUGUAGGCGGAGGUUCCAGGUAAAUCCGGUACCUUUUUAACGCUGAGGUGUGAUGACGAGGCACUACGGUGCUGAAGUAACAAAUGCCCUGCUUCCAGGAAAAGCCUCUAAGCAUCAGGUAACACGAAAUCGUACCCCAAACCGACACAGGUGGUCAGGUAGAGAAUACCAAGGCGCUUGAGAGAACUCGGGUGAAGGAACUAGGCAAAAUGGUGCCGUAACUUCGGGAGAAGGCACGCUGAUAUGUAGGUGAAGCCCCUGCGGGUGGAGCUGAAAUCAGUCGAAGAUACCAGCUGGCUGCAACUGUUUAUUAAAAACACAGCACUGUGCAAACACGAAAGUGGACGUAUACGGUGUGACGCCUGCCCGGUGCCGGAAGGUUAAUUGAUGGGGUUAGCGGCAACGCGAAGCUCUUGAUCGAAGCCCCGGUAAACGGCGGCCGUAACUAUAACGGUCCUAAGGUAGCGAAAUUCCUUGUCGGGUAAGUUCCGACCUGCACGAAUGGCGUAAUGAUGGCCAGGCUGUCUCCACCCGAGACUCAGUGAAAUUGAACUCGCUGUGAAGAUGCAGUGUACCCGCGGCAAGACGGAAAGACCCCGUGAACCUUUACUAUAGCUUGACACUGAACAUUGAGCCUUGAUGUGUAGGAUAGGUGGGAGGCUUUGAAGCGUGGACGCCAGUCUGCGUGGAGCCGACCUUGAAAUACCACCCUUUAAUGUUUGAUGUUCUAACGUUGGCCCCUUACCGGGGUUGCGGACAGUGUCUGGUGGGUAGUUUGACUGGGGCGGUCUCCUCCCAAAGAGUAACGGAGGAGCACGAAGGUUAGCUAAUCCUGGUCGGACAUCAGGAGGUUAGUGCAAUGGCAUAAGCUAGCUUGACUGCGAGCGUGACGGCGCGAGCAGGUGCGAAAGCAGGUCAUAGUGAUCCGGUGGUUCUGAAUGGAAGGGCCAUCGCUCAACGGAUAAAAGGUACUCCGGGGAUAACAGGCUGAUACCGCCCAAGAGUUCAUAUCGACGGCGGUGUUUGGCACCUCGAUGUCGGCUCAUCACAUCCUGGGGCUGAAGUAGGUCCCAAGGGUAUGGCUGUUCGCCAUUUAAAGUGGUACGCGAGCUGGGUUUAGAACGUCGUGAGACAGUUCGGUCCCUAUCUGCCGUGGGCGCUGGAGAAUUGAGGGGGGCUGCUCCUAGUACGAGAGGACCGGAGUGGACGCAUCACUGGUGUUCGGGUUGUCAUGCCAAUGGCACUGCCCGGUAGCUAAAUGCGGAAGAGAUAAGUGCUGAAAGCAUCUAAGCACGAAACUUGCCCCGAGAUGAGUUCU